rnacentral:rRNA from 1 species
UACGGAGGGUGCGAGCGUUGUCCGGAAUCAUUGGGCGUAAAGGGCGCGUAGGCGGCUUCUCAAGCGUGCGGUGAAAGUCAGGGGCUCAACCCCUGAUCGGCCGUGCGAACUGGGGGGCUGGAGCACUGUAGAGGCAGGCGGAAUUCCGGGUGUAGCGGGGGAAUGCGUAGAGAUCCGGAAGAACACCGGUGGCGAAGGCGGCCUGCUGGGCAGUGGCUGACGCUGAGGCGCGACAGCGUGGGGAGCAAACAGG